rnacentral:rRNA from 1 species
AUUGAACGCUGGCGGCAGGCCUAACACAUGCAAGUCGAACGGUAACAGGAAGAAGCUUGCUUCUUUGCUGACGAGUGGCGGACGGGUGAGACUGUCUGGGAAACUGCCUGAUGGAGGGGGAUAACUACUGGAAACGGUAGCUAAUACCGCAUAACGUCGCAAGACCAAAGAGGGGGACCUUCGGGCCUCUUGCCAUCGGAUGUGCCCAGAUGGGAUUAGCUAGUAGGUGGGGUAACGGCUCACCUAGGCGACGAUCCCUAGCUGGUCUGAGAGGAUGACCAGCCACACUGGAACUGAGACACGGUCCAGACUCCUACGGGAGGCAGCAGUGGGGAAUAUUGCACAACGGGCGCAAGCCUGAUGCAGCCAUGCCGCGUGUAUGAAGAAGGCCUUCGGGUUGUAAAGUACUUUCAGCGGGGAGGAAGGGAGUAAAGUUAAUACCUUUGCUCAUUGACGUUACCCGCAGAAGAAGCACCGGCUAACUCCGUG